AUUGAACGCUGGCGGCAUGCCUUACACAUGCAAGUCGAACGGUAACAGGUCUUCGGAUGCUGACGAGUGGCGAACGGGUGAGUAAUACAUCGGAACGUGCCUAGUAGUGGGGGAUAACUACUCGAAAGAGUGGCUAAUACCGCAUGAGAUCUACGGAUGAAAGCAGGGGAUCGCAAGACCUUGUGCUACUAGAGCGGCCGAUGGCAGAUUAGGUAGUUGGUGGAUAAAAGCUUGCCAAGCCGACGAUCUGUAGCUGGUCUGAGAGGACGAUCAGCCACACUGGGACUGAGACACGGCCCAGACUCCUACGGGAGGCAGCAGUGGGGAAUUUUGGACAAUGGGCGCAAGCCUGAUCCAGCAAUGCCGCGUGCAGGAUGAAGGCCUUCGGGUUGUAAACUGCUUUUGUACGGAACGAAAAGCCCUGGGUUAAUACCCUGGGGUCUUGACGGUACCGUAAGAAUAAGCACCGGCUAACUACGUGCCAGCAGCCGCUGUAA
rnacentral:rRNA from 1 species